CAUCAAAAUUAUUUUUCUCUUCAACUCUAGAAGGCUCCCAAGAAGCAAGAACUUUCAUCUUCAACAAAGGGAGAUAGAGAAAAGUAACAGAAGAGAGAAAGAGAGAGUGAGGGAGAGAUUAAGGGGUCAAGGGUGGCGUUUUUCUUCAAGACCAUGGCAGCAGCUACAGUGACGUGAAGCAUCCAUGGAGCAACUAAAAAUCUUCAUCCUUUCAAUCCUCAAAUUUUAGCAAACUAAGGAGCUAAGUAUCAAGGUUGAGAUCCUAUGGGGCAGCAUAUACAUAUUAUGUACGGAUAAAUUCUAAAGGUACAAAUAUUAAUUUUGAGAAUCCGCCAGCUUAGGAUUUCCACUCAGCUAUUUUGGAAGUGCUUCAUUAUUCCGGAGCCUAGAAUUAUGAUAUAGAUAUUUUGAUGUAUAUAUUUAUUUAUCCAUGGGUACGGCGGGGCCUUGUCCCAUCAUAUAAUACUAUUGAUAUUCUUAGAGGUCUGUAGAUAUAUAUAUGGGUGAUAUAUCAAUGUUAUCCAAUGGUACUAGUAUGACUUAUAUUUUGGGAACAUUCCUAUUUAUAGUGACGGCCUUAUCGACUUGCAUAUAUGUAUAUGAUAUAUAGCGGGAUGUUCC